rnacentral:rRNA from 1 species
UACGGAGGGUGCGAGCGUUGUCCGGAAUCAUUGGGCGUAAAGGGCGCGUAGGUGGCCCGGUCAGUCUUUGGUGAAAGCGCGGGGCUCAACCCUGCGUCGGCCAGGGAUACUGCCGCGGCUCGAGCACUGUAGAGGCAGGCGGAAUUCCGGGUGUAGCGGUGGAAUGCGUAGAGAUCCGGAAGAACACCGGUGGCGAAAGCGCUCUACUGGACGGUAUCUGACACUGAGGGACGAAAGCUAGGGGAGCGAAUGGG